AGGCAGGUAUCUGUGUAAUGUGUAUGGAGGUCGUCGGUCAACGACUCCUCUUUCUCUUAUCCCUCCCAGUUUUCUUCUUCAGGUCUCCUUCAAACUCGCAACUAGACCAGGUAUCAACUCUUUCAAAAUUUUCAUGGCUAUAAGGGUUCUUUUAUGGUCAGUGAUGAUCUUCUAUUAGAAGGAUUGAAGAAGUGCAAGUCUCUUGGUGCCUUGGCUAUGCUCCAUGCAGAAAAUGGAGAUACUGUAUAUGAAGGGCAGAAAAGAACGAUAGACCUUGGUAUUACCGUAUUACUGGUCGGGAGAGACAUACUUUUUCACGGCCCCCAGUGCUUGAAUUAAGGAGAAGCAACUUCUCGGGCAAUUCGUUUGGCAGCUUUUGUGAACGUGCCUCUCUAGUCUCUACGUAGUUCAUGUCAUGAGCAUCGCACAAUGGAAGAGACUGCUAAAGCUUGGAAAUUGGGAAAAAGGAGGAGUUGUUUGGGAAAAUGAUGAACUUAAGGUUAUUUUUGGUUCUGGAAAACACGUUAAAAUGCCUCCUUCAGCUAUCCUUUCCAUGGAAUUGAUAAGGCGGAUGCCUUGUACCUAUCAUCUCUUCAGGCUCUGGUGAAGCGUUUUAAAUCUACCACUUCAAAACCCGGUGAGUAGAAUCCUUUUUCCUUUUCAACUUAGAGUGGUAGAAGGGCUCAAAAAAUUCUUCAAAUUUGAACACAGAGAGAAUGAUUGGUUGUCUUAAUUGCUUUGUAUCUAGCUCUAUAGAUGGACUUCAACCCAAGGUUGUUAGAAUCGCAUGAAUUAUGAUUCGGUUCAUGCGAUUCGACUUUGAUGGAUAAUGAUAUGAAUCGUGCUUUGAAUGGCAGAGCAGACUGAAUCGCGUUUGUGAAUCGCUGGAAUCGUCUGAAAUCGGCGAUUCCAGCAAUUCACAAAUUUUAUAUCUUUAAAAUAUAAACAAUCAAAACAACAUCGUUGUGAUUGAGUCAGAAAUUGUACAUUUUUAUUAUAAAUAGAUAUAGUAUACUUAACCUUUACAGAAGCUUUUAGUUUUUUCCCCUUCUUUUACUGGAAGACAAAUAAAUAAAUACGGAUAAACAUUAUACUUUAGUUCUCCAGUGAUGAACCUGCUUCCUCUAUAAUUUACAAGACAGAAUCAAUGACGCUGUUCAAUUAAGUAAGAGUGGUUGAAUGUUAGGAGAUUGGCUUCUCUGUCUUAGGGAAAUCAAGGCCUAAUACAGCAAUUAAUGUAGGUCAAUAUCUUCUUUUUUCUCUGCAGUGCAACAAAUGUACAUGGGAUUAGAAAGAAAAAUGUCUUCUUUGAUCAA